AUACUUAACCUGACAGGGGAGAUACUAUGAUCAGUAAGGUGUUUUUUUCUGGGUGAGGCUUAUUUGUUACAUUCCAGAUGUGCUGACCCUUGUGAUUUCCCCAAAUGUGGGAAACUCAACUGCACCAAAUUUUUUAAAGACUUUAUUUAUUUAUUUUUAGA